GUGAGACCCACGGUGUCGGGCCAUUGACCUCCUUAAUGAUGUCAUCUGCCUCGAGUUUCAGAAGCUCAUCUUCGACCUUUUGACGAAUGUGGAACGGUACACGUCGAUGUGAUUGGCAUGAAGGCUUGAUGUCAGGAUUUAUGUGAAGCUUUACCUGAAAGUCCUUCAGUUUUCCGAUCCCCUGAAACAGUUCCGGAUGAUUUUCCACCAGCUCAUCUGCGACUGUGCGACGCUGUUGUGUGGACGACACUGCUGUGACUAUUUUAAUCAGUCCCAGUGCUUUAGAUGUUUUGUAGCUGAGCACGUUAAAUCCAUCCCCUUCAACUACAAAGAAUGUGCACGUUGUGUUUUCCUGUCCUUUCUCCACACUGCACUUGAAGCUACCUUUGAGUGGUAAUGGAACUGGAGCGAAACGGGUAAAUCUUGGUGCUGGUGUGGUUCAGUUGAGGACGUGGCAUCAGUUUCUCGAAGCUUGUUUCGCUAACACAGUUUGCAGAGGCUCCUGAAUCCUGAAAAACUACCAUGCUACUGCCAUUUAACCUAAUGUGUGUCUGUGGCAGCUCUGAGACCUUUUCAGCAUCUACUACAAACACAUAAGCGUCAUCACUGUUGGAAGAGUUGCGUUCCUGUUCUUCACCUGGUGUCUUUGUUAUGUGAUGGACUUUUUUAUGGUGUUGGUUUGCCUUGUACUGUGGUUGUUUUGCGCUAAUGUCCCUGAGAGCGACAUUGUUUAGCAAAGUGAUUCAGCUUACCACAGUUUCUGCAUUGUUUGCUUCUAGCAGGACAUUCUCCUUCAUGAGGAUAUUUACCUCCACAGUUUCUGCAGCUGUUGUCUGAACGUUGUUUUUCUGACC